UUUACACUUUACAUUUAAAAGUUGGUUUGUUUUCCUAAAAUUAAAAGUUCUUUUUUUACUUUGAAAGUUAUAUUUUCAAUUUGAAAGUGUUUUUUAUCUGUACUCAGUGUAAAUUUAAAAGUUUUUUCUUUCAGUGUAAGAACUAUAGAAAUGUCAAAUCCACAAAAAAAAAGUUUGUGCAAAAGUCGCAAAAGCAGCCAUCAAAACAGAGUGCAAAACAAAACCAAAAUUCCACUGCAAACCACUACAAAAUUAGUUUGCAAUGUCCACAGCGCAGAUGCUACUUUUUAUUUUUGGAUUGCUUAUUAAACGAAAGGCUUUUGGAAAUAGUCCGAUCGUACCGCGGUUUGCCGUCUCCCGCCAUGAUCACUACCUAACGGUUUCCCCCUGCCGCAAAACUCAAGUUUAUGCUGAAUCGGAAGCUCCAUGGUACGAUAAACCGAAGUGUUUGCAGUGACCAGCAAUGAUUCCCCCCACGGGGAAUGUCGAUCUUGUUGAUGCUGUUCUUUUUCCUGCUGGACCAGCUAAUCGAUAAAAAGAGUCAGUAUGGUUCCUGACAGCUUGUAUUGUGGAACGGGAAGUUGACCAUCAUUGACCUGAACCUGGAAGGUAAUGCUAAUGGAUGCUAUCAUCAGCGUUGGACAGUAAGUUCAUGUUCUGUACAAACUGCCAGAUGACCGCAGUGAUUCUGAGGAAAUCGCGCAUCGAGACCAUCAGCUAAGGCAGCGUCGGAGCUAAGCUAAGGACUAGCGUCGGAGGACAGCCAGGAGAGGAAUCUCCCGUGAGGAUUUUAUAAAGUUGAAAAUGGUUGGAAAUAAAAUUAAAUAA